rnacentral:rRNA from 1 species
UACGAAGGGUGCAAGCGUUAGUCGGAAUUACUGGGCGUAAAGCGUGCGUAGGCGGUUCUUUAAGUCGGAUGUGAAAGCCCUGGGCUCAACCUGGGAAUGGCACUCGAUACUGGGGAGCUGGAGUAAGGUAGAGGAUGGUGGAAUUCCCGGUGUAGCGGUGAAAUGCGUAGAGAUCGGGAGGAACAUCUGUGGCGAAGGCGGCCAUCUGGACCAUUACUGACGCUGAGGCGCGAAAGCUAGGGGAGCAAACGGG